rnacentral:piRNA from 1 species
UUAAGAUGUACAAAAUUCUGUGGA